AGAGUUUGAUCAUGGCUCAGGAUGAACGCUAGCUACAGGCUUAACACAUGCAAGUCGAGGGGAAACGACAUCGAAAGCUUGCUUUUGAUGGGCGUCGACCGGCGCACGGGUGAGUAACGCGUAUCCAACCUGCCCACCACUUGGGGAUAACCUUGCGAAAGUAAGACUAAUACCCAAUGACGUCUCUAGAAGACAUCUGAAAGAGAUUAAAGAUUUAUCGGUGAUGGAUGGGGAUGCGUCUGAUUAGCUUGUUGGCGGGGUAACGGCCCACCAAGGCGACGAUCAGUAGGGGUCCUGAGAGGAAGGUCCCCCACAUUGGAACUGAGACACGGUCCAAACUCAUACGGGAGGCA
rnacentral:rRNA from 1 species